CCUGACUAGUAGGAGGUAGAUCGAGCCUGACUCAGUCGUCGUAGCAAGGUAGAGUUUGAUCCUGGCUGAGUCAGUCGUAGCAAGGUAGGGAGAGUUCGUGCUAGAGUGAGUCCGACGAAGGAAGGGAGAGAAUGAAAGAGUUAGUUCAAACGUUACCGCCCAACGGAUGCCCCUGGCCUGAGUAGCUUGCUGUUCGACUUGCGUGUUACCAAGCUGACGAUCAGGAGCGGUCCGGACCCGGAUUCAACUUUUAGGGCCGACAGCUAGCUCCGCCACCUUGGGCCUGAGACAGGGCCCAGACUAAUACGGGAGGGAGAAGUGGGGAAUAUUGGACAAUGGGCGAAACCCUGAUCCAGCCAUGCCGCGUGUGUGAAGAAGGCCUUAUGGUUGUAAAGCACUUUARGCGAGGAGGAGGCUACUUUAGUUAAUACCUAGAGAUAGUGGACGUUACUCGCAGAAUAAGCACCGGCUAACUCUGUGCCAGCAGCCGCGGUAAUACAGAGGGUGCGAGCGUUAAUCGGAUUUACUGGGCGAAAAGCGUGCGUAGGCGGCUUAUUAAGUCGGAUGUGAAAUCCCCGAGCUUAACUUGGUAAUAGCAUUCGAUACUGGUGAGCUAGAGUAUGCGAGAGGAUGAUAGAAUUCCAGGUGUAUCUGGUGAAAUGCGUAGAGAUCUGGAGGAAUACCGAUGGCGARGGCAGCCAUCUGGCCUAAUACUGACGCUGAGGUACGACAGCAUGGGGAGCAMACAGGAUUAGAUACCCUGAAGUCCAUGCCGAAAACGAUGUCUACUAGCCGUUGGGGCCUUUGAGGCUUUAUUGACCYACCUAACGCUGAAAGUAGACCCGCCUGGGGAGUACCGGUCGCACGACUAAAACUCAAAUGAAUUGACGGGCGUCCCGCUCCAGCGGCGGAGC
rnacentral:rRNA from 1 species